rnacentral:lncRNA from 1 species
AUGAGGGUUAGAGUGACACCAUGUCAGUCCCCUGGCUAGUCUCCGCCAACUGGACAAGCUGGGGCCUCCUCUCCACCUUGACUGGCCUGUGCCUGGGGAGGGAGCCAAGGGCAGGACCCUCUUGCACCUCUACCCUGGGCCUGGUCCAUUCUCGCUCCUGGGACCUCCCCAGAGACCUCCGCAGCACACCCCACCAGUGCAGUGAGCAGCACAGAGAGACCCAGACCGAAGUGGCCAUGUGCUCCCUGUGAGGGCUCCGUAGGAAGCAAGGAUGUACAAGUGGCUCCUUUCCCCUUCCUAGGGGUCCCUUGCAGGGCUGGGACCCCAUUCUAGGCGAGGCCUCUGGGCAAGGAUGACCAUCCCUGCCUGCCUCUGGGAAAGAGUAAGUUCCUGCUCCUGGUGUCAGCGCCGACUGGUUCUCCAGGGACCACGGCGGAGGUCUGCCCUCUGUCUUACUUUCUCAUAGAGAUUUUCCGUGGGACCUGGGCUCCCUGCCUGGUUAGGGCUGGUUGAAGAAUAAGUGGGAACGGUGGAGGAAGGAAGGGGAUGUGCCAGCUGUUGCUCUGGCCCUUUCGUGUGGAUAUGAAUCCCUGGUGAGAGGCAGACCCUGAGGUCAGAGCGGAGCCCACCACAUUCCCCCAGGAGGGUGUGUCCUGGGCUGUGUAUGGGGGAAAGCUGGGCAACCAGGGUCAUGCCGUGAAUGCAGGGGCAGGAGCAGGGACGUUUCUCUCUGCAGACACUGGUGCUCCCCAAAGCAGGAGAAAUGGCAUACAGCCAUGUUGUGGACACAUUUGUGAGAAAAUUCCUCUGAAUGUCAGAGAACAUGGAAGAGAUGAAGCUACCAGCUUAUGCAUCCUUGGCCUGGUGGACGGAAGAUCGAGCGCUCUGGGUGGACUUACGGCCACAGGACGGGGGCAG